GACGAACGCUGGCGGCGUGCUUAACACAUGCAAGUCGAGCGGAAGGGCCCUUCGGGGUACUCGAGCGGCGAACGGGUGAGUAACACGUGAGUAACCUGCCCUAGACUUUGGGAUAACCCUCGGAAACGGGGGCUAAUACCGGAUACUCCUUCUAAAUCGCAAGAUUUGGUUGGGAAAGGUUUUCGGUCUGGGUUGGUCUAGCGGCCUAUCAGCUCGUUGGUGGAGUAAUGGCCUACCAAGGAGAGGACGGGUAGCCGGCCUGAGAGGGCGACCGGCGACACUGGGACUGAGACACGGCCCAGACUCCUACGGGAGGCAGCAGUGGGGAAUAUUGCACAAUGGGCGGAAGCCUGAUGCAGCGACGCCGCGUGCGGGAUGACGGGCUUCGGGUUGUAAACCUCUUUCAGCGGGGACGAAGCGUAAGUGACGGUACCUGCAGAAGAAGCGCCGGCCAACUACGUG
rnacentral:rRNA from 1 species